UAGGGAAUCUUCCGCAAUGGGCGAAAGCCUGACGGAGCCACGCCGCGUGAGUGAUGAAGGUCUUCGGAUCGUAAAACUCUGUUAUUAGGGAAGAACAAAUGUGUAAGUAACUAUGCACGUCUUGACGGUACCUAAUCAGAAAGCCACGGCUAACUACGUGCCAGCAGCCGCGGUAAUACGUAGGUGGCAAGCGUUAUCCGGAAUUAUUGGGCGUAAAGCGCGCGUAGGCGGUUUUUUAAGUCUGAUGUGAAAGCCCACGGCUCAACCGUGGAGGGUCAUUGGAAACUGGAAAACUUGAGUGCAGAAGAGGAAAGUGGAAUUCCAUGUGUAGCGGUGAAAUGCGCAGAGAUAUGGAGGAACACCAGUGGCGAAGGCGACUUUCUGGUCUGUAACUGACGCUGAUGUGCGAAAGCGUGGGGAUCAAACAGG
rnacentral:rRNA from 1 species